UUCAAGGGGUCUACCAAGCAAGGCCAGCAUUAGACUCGCUGGGGCCCAAGUCACAAAGCUGAAGCCCCACUGCAUGGGGCUGAAGCCCGAGGCCUUGAGCCCCACCACCCAGGGCUGAAGUCAAAGCCCGAGCAGCUUAGCUUCACGGGGGCGCCUGUGGCAUGGGGUCCCAGGCAAUUGACCUGCUUGCUACCCCCUAACACAGGACCUAGCUUUUAUAUGCAAAAAACUAGUUAUUGUGGGACAGGCUGGAC